ACAGGACGGAAGAAUUGAUGAGACGGGGCGGAUCUAAAUAUUAGGGGGAACGGGCCCCAGCCCAAACCGUUUCUAACGUGGGAUAUGAUGAAUUUAAUGAUUAUUCCCAAUUUCUAAACUCCACCGUCCACCAUUUGAUUGGAUUUGGACUUUUUCAUCACCCAGUCUCAUCUUCUUCCUCUACUCCUCACAGCAGCCAUUGCCAAUUCUUCGUCUCUGUCUCCCUCUCUCUGGCUACUUGUGAAAUGCGACCAUCACCACCUUCUCCUCCCAAUCGCGACUACCCCAUCACCGCCGUCUAGAACACCACCAUGAUCCUGUGAAUCGAAAUCGACCACCUUCAUCUCAUCUCCUCCCAAAUUAAGUCUGUAGACCAUCUCUUAUGCAAGCCCAUCAAGUUGACACCAAAUAUGAUCCGGAGGAGGUAUUCAAAAUCCCCUUUUAAGUUUUAACUAUGACCAUUUCAUGCAAAUUGGAUUUGAAUGUAAACUCAUCUUCAUAAGCUUUUAUUUGUAACUAUUGGUAGGGAAAGAUGUAUUCACCCCCUCUAGGAACUAGGAGAAGGCUGCGAACGCCUUGUACUGAUAGCAGAGCCUUUCUUAUUGUCUUCCAAUGAGCUAUUCUCUAUACACAAUCCAAAUAACCUGUUCUAAAAAUAAAUAAAUAAAUAAAUAAAGUAAUUUGGACCAGUGGACUCGGCCUGAUUCGGCCCAUUUAAAAAGGGUCAGGUUAGGUCCGGUUCCAAAUCUUAAAAUUCA